rnacentral:rRNA from 1 species
UUCGAGUGGCGGACGGGUGAGUAACGCGUGGGUAACCUGCCUUACACAGGGGGAUAACACCUGGAAACAGGUGCUAAUACCGCAUAAGCGCACAGGGCCGGCAUGGCCCGGUGUGAAAAACUCCGGUGGUGUAAGAUGGACCCGCGUCUGAUUAGCUUGUUGGCGGGGUAGGGGCCCACCAAGGCGACGAUCAGUAGCCGGCCUGAGAGGGUGGACGGCCACAUUGGGACUGAGACACGGCCCAAACUCCUACGGGAGGCAGCAG